GACAGAGGGUGCAAACGUUGUUCGGAAUUACUGGGCGUAAAGCGCGUGUAGGCGGCUAUGUAAGUCCGUUCUGAAAGCCCGGGGCUCAACCCCGGGAGGCGGAUGGAUACUGUCAAGCUCGAGUCCGGAAGAGGCAAGUGGAAUUCCCGGUGUAGCGGUGAAAUGCGCAGAUAUCGGGAGGAACACCAAUGGCGAAGGCAGCUUGCUGGGACGGUACUGACGCUGAGACGCGAAAGCGUGGGGAGCAAACAGGG
rnacentral:rRNA from 1 species